rnacentral:rRNA from 1 species
ACGGAGCGGCGAACGGGUGAGUAACACGUGGGCAACCUGCCCCUAGCUCUGGGAUAAGCCCGGGAAACCGGGUCUAAUACCGGAUAUGAGAUCGGAAGGCAUCUUCUGACCUGGAAAGUUUUUCGGCUAGGGAUGGGCCCGCGGCCUAUCAGCUUGUUGGUGAGGUAACGGCCCACCAAGGCGACGACGGGUAGCCGGCCUGAGAGGGCGACCGGCCACACUGGGACUGAGACACGGCCCAG